AUUGAACGCUAGCGGGAUGCUUUACACAUGCAAGUCGAACGAGUGGCGGACGUGUGAGUAAUAUAUCGGAACGUCCCCCGUAUCGGGGGAUAACUACUAGCAAGGGUGCCUAAUACCGCAUACUAUUGGAGCGGCCUCUCUGGCAUUCGGUAGUUGGUGGGGUAAAGGCUCACCAAGGCAACUAUCCGGAGCCGGUUUGAGAGGACGACCAGCGACACUGGGACUGAGACACGGCCCAGACUCCUACGGGAGGAAGCGGGGGGGAAUGUGGGACAAUGGGGGAAACCGUGAUCCAGCGAUGCCGCGUGUAUGAGAAGGCCUGCGGGUUGUAAAGUACUAUUGGCAGAGCAGCGGUAUCUGCAGAAGAAGCACCGGCUAACUACGUGCCAGCAGCCGCGGUAAUUC
rnacentral:rRNA from 1 species